AUGAUUCGUGGGACGUCCUGCCGGUGGUGGCGAGUCGAAGGCGUGCACCCGUUGUGGUUUAUCCACUUCGGUUCUUGCGCGCCGGAGGCGGACCCCGAUGAAAUCCUACCGCGGUGCUCUUCGCCGAGUGUCGAGGUGGGCCGGCACGUUUACUUUGAACAAAUUAGAGUGCUUAAAGCAGGCCUGUUGCGCCUGAAUACUGUGUGCAUGGAAUAAUGGAAUAGGACCUCGGUUCUAUUUUGUUGGUUUUCGGAACCCGAGGUAAUGAUUAAUAGGGACAGGCGGGGGCAUUCGUAUUGCGACGUUAGAGGUGAAAUUCUUGGAUCGUCGCAAGACGGACCGAAGCGAAAGCAUUUGCCAAGUAUGUUUUCAUUAAUCAAGAACGAAAGUUAGAGGUUCGAAGGCGAUCAGAUACCGCCCUAGUUCUAAACCAUAAACGAUGCCAGCUAGCGAUCCGCCGAAGUUCCUCCGAUGACUCGGCGGGCAGCUCCCGGGAAACCAAAGCUUUUGGGUUCCGGGGAAGUAUGGUUGCAAAGCUGAACUUAAGGAAUUGACGGAAGG
rnacentral:rRNA from 1 species